CCAAGGAGUUGAACAUGUGCGCAAGUCGAUGGGUCUUGAUUAAGCCCAAAGGCGCAAUGAAAGCGAAGGCUUGGAUGACUCCAGCCGUGUCGGGAUCCCCGCUCCUUUGCGUGCGGGGCGCACCGACGACCCGCCCCGAUCCGCUCGCGGAUGAGGCGGAGUCCGAGCGCACACGUUCCUACCCGAAAGUUGGUGAUCUAUGCCCGGACAGGACGAGGCCAGAGGAAACUCUGGUGGAGGUCCGUAGCGAUUCUGACGUGCAAAUCGAUCGUCAGAUCUGGGUCUAGG
rnacentral:rRNA from 1 species